rnacentral:rRNA from 1 species
AUUGAACGCUAGCGGGAUGCCUUACACAUGCAAGUCGAACGGAGUGGCGAACGGGUGAGUAAUGUAUCGGAACGUGCCCAGUAGCGGGGGAUAACUACGCGAAAGCGUAGCUAAUACCGCAUACUCUUGGAGCGGCCGAUAACGGAUGAGCUAGUUGGUGGGGUAACGGCUCACCAAGGCGACGAUCCGUAGCUGGUUUGAGAGGACGACCAGCCACGCUGGGACUGAGACACGGCCCAGACUCCUACGUGGAGCAGGAGUGGGGAAUUUUGGACAAUGGGGGAAACCCUGAUCCAGCCAUCCCGCGUGUGCGAUGAAGACCUUCGGGUUGUAAAGCACUUUUGGCAGGAAAGCGGUACCUGCAGAAUAAGCACCGGCUAACUACGUGCCAGCAGCCGCGGUAAUUC